rnacentral:lncRNA from 1 species
AUAAACUAAAUUUGAAGAAUGUUGAGGGUUUGCCUCUGUGAUGUAUUUCUUUUAUCUAUGAACAUAAAUUACAGAGGGUCUCAAGAUUACAUAUAUACAUCUAAUCUAUAUUGUUAUAAAUAUACAUAAUUGUUUUUGCUAACAUUUUUUCUUUUCUGAAAACUCAUGUAGCAGCAGAAAUGCAAGUCUUUCAAAUGCUUUUGGGAAGACUGUGUAAAGAAAUGGCUGUCCCUUGUUCAAAGACAUCAAACAUUUCUAUGCAAGAUGUCUUAUUUCGCCAGUAGUAAUAUGCUCCCAUCAUAGGAAAAUUGGCUGUCUACAUUUAAAAGAAAAAUGAAGACAUCAUUAAAACUAUCAGGAAGUCUGGAAACAAUAUAGCAAUUUUUAACCUAAUGGUGCUAAGAGAGUGACAUGAAUGUUCUUGAUCAUCCAGUCUUUGAUGGUGGAUGCAGGUCUUUUUAGUCCAUUUUAAUGGUCAAGAUUGGUUAGCUUCAAAAGAAAAAGAUUUGAGAUUUGCAAAAAAAAAUUGUUCACCAAUGACAUGUUUUUGAGACCCCUUUUUAUUGUAACCUUGACUAUUAAGUUGCCUGUGGCUUCAUUUUUAUAGAAAAUGAGUUUCAGCAGGUGGAACUGAAAAUUACUGUUAGGAAAGAAUGAUUUCCAAUGAGCAGCAAAACAUUGAACCUUUGCCUUGUGGAUUCUCAUUUAUUAAGUCAAAGAGAAAAGGAGUAUAAGAUAUAAAGUUUCAUGUGCAGACCUUCCCUCCUUAUGAAUUCUGUGUUGAAAUGAAUAACUGUAAAACCCCAGGGAUUUGGCCAACCUCUUCUCCUGUCUCCUGCCAACUUUGACCUGGUUUUCUACAAGACUUAAGAGAGACAGGGUCUCACCAUGUUUCCCAGGCUGGUUUCGAACUCCUGAACUCAAGUGAUCCACCCACCAAUGCCUCCCAAAGUGCUGGGAUUACAGGUGUGAACCACAGCACCCAGCCAGUUAGAACUUUUUUUGAUUUCUAUGCAUGGAAACCCAUCUUUAAAUAAUUUAGUCAGGCAAUGGGAAUUUAUUGGAGGUGGAUUCUCAUAACUGCGGGAAGAUGUGAAGUGCAGCUGGACUAUGAGGACAACUGAAUUGGGAACUUACAUUCUCUGCCAGUAGAAUUUCUCCCCAUCUCUCAUCUGCCACUCCAUGCUUCAUUCUCUUAAAAUGAUCUCUUUAACAGGUACAGAGACUGCACAGAAUCUCCCAGAAGACCUUAGUCAAUGCAGAAUUAAAUGGAAAAAUUCCACUUUUGUCAAAGGUGAAAAAUCUGGCUUUCCUUACAUGCAGAACCUCUAGAGACAUCAACAUGGUCUGUAUGAGCAACCUCAGCAAAAAAAAAAAAAAAGCCUCAUCUGAUAGACUGUCAGUCACAGAAAUAAUAAAGGAAAGAAAGAAGAGAGGAAGCU